GUCCAGAUGGCGCAGUGGUCAGCGCAUCUGUCUAGUAAACAGGAGUCCUGGGUUCACAUCCCGGUCUGGCACG